AUUGAACGCUGGCGGCAUGCUUUACACAUGCAAGUCGAACGGCAGCGCGGGCUUCGGCCUGGCGGCGAGUGGCGAACGGGUGAGUAAUGCAUCGGAACGUGCCCAGUAGUGGGGGAUAGCCCGGCGAAAGCCGGAUUAAUACCGCAUACGACCUGAGGGUGAAAGCGGGGGACCGAAAGGCCUCGCGCUAUUGGAGCGGCCGAUGUCGGAUGAGCUAGUUGGUGGGGUAAAGGCUUACCAAGGCGACGAUCCGUAGCUGGUCUGAGAGGACGACCAGCCACACUGGGACUGAGACACGGCCCAGACUCCUACGAGAGGCAGCAGUGGGGAAUUUUGGACAAUGGGGGCAACCCUGAUCCAGCCAUGCCGCGUGCGGGAAGAAGGCCUUCGGGUUGUAAACCGCUUUUGUUCGGGAAGAAAUCCUCUGGGCUAAUACCCCGGGGGGAUGACGGUACCGGAAGAAUAAGCACCGGCUAACUACGUG
rnacentral:rRNA from 1 species